AGUGCCUCAAGAGCACAAAACCCUGUAAGAAGAACCUCAGGCUAUAGAAUUGAGAACCUCGGUUUCUCACUGACUGUUGACUAGAACCUCCCUCAGCAGCCUGCCACAUUAGUCUCUCAACAGGAGCUCACAGGAUAGCAGCUGGCUCUCCUAAGAGUGAAUGAACCAAAGAGUGAGUGGGGGAUGAGCACCCAAGAUGGAAACCACGGUCUUUUUGUGACCUAAUCUCUAAGGUACGGAGAUGUGGCAGGAAGAAGAAGAAUAGGACAAAUCCGCGGAGAACAUUGAGACACGGGCUGGUUUAGUCACAGUGGUUGCGGUCAGAAAUGGCGAGUUUGACCCCUUUGCUGUUUUGGUGCUGCUCUCCUUGUCCAGCUCCCCUGACAUCGUUCUGAUGACCCUAGAGACUGGCUUCAAGAAGACAGGAAAGAUCCGAGUAACACACGGGUCUCUGAAUUACUCUGAGCAUAAAGUGGCAAAACUUUUGGACCAAGGGCAAGGUCAAAGAUCCUUAAGCUUCAUUCAUGAUGUUUCAGUUACACACAGCUUUGGUCAACUCUUUCGGGGAAAAUGUUCAUUUUUUUUUUUCCCUCAACACUCCUUUAUUGCAUGCCUAUUUGGAUUCAGACAACGCACUUGAUAUCAAGAUUAACACAACUAAAUAAAAUAUGACAUGAUUUUUAAUAAAACUGUGGGACAACAGCUCUUGAUUUAA
ensembl:lncRNA